GGGUGAGGAACACGUGAAUAAUCUGCCCCCAAGUUUGGAAUAACUUUCCGAAAGGAAAGCUAAUACCGAAUGUGGUUGAUUUACCGCAUGGUGAAUCAACUAAAGAUUUAUUGCUUGGGGAUGAGUUCGCGUCCCAUUAGCUAGUUGGUGAGGUAACGGCUCACCAAGGCCGAGAUGGGUAGCUGGUCUGAGAGGAUGAUCAGCCACACUGGGACUGAGACACUGCCCAGACUCCUACGGGAGGCUGCAGUCGAGAAUCUUUUGCAAUGCGCGAAAGCGUGACAAAGCAAUGCCGCGUGCCGGAUGAAGGUCUUCGGAUUGUAAACGGCUGUCACCCGUGACGAAAAAUGACGGUAACGGGAGAGGAAGCCACGGCUAACUACGUGCCAGCAGCCGCGGUAAUACGUAGGUGGCGAGCGUUGUUCGGAUUUAUUGGGCGUAAAGGGUCCGUAGGUGGUUUGUUAAGUCUGACGUGAAAUCCCAUGGCUCAACCAUGGAACUGCGUUGGAAACUGAUGAACUGGAGUGUUGUAGAGGUAAGCGGAAUACCAGGUGUAGCGGUGGAAUGCGUAGAUAUCUGGUAGAACACCGAAAGCGAAGGCAGCUUACUGGGCAACAACUGACACUGAGGGACGAAAGCGUGGGGAGCAAACAGGAUUAGAUACCCUGGUAGUCCACGCCGUAAACGAUGUCAACUAGUUGUUGGCCCUAUUAAAAGGGUUAGUAACGAAGCUAACGCGAUAAGUUGACCGCCUGGGGAGUACGGUCGCAAGAUUAAAACUCAAAGGAA
rnacentral:rRNA from 1 species